ensembl:lncRNA
GUUGUCAAUCCAACCCCUGCAAUGCAAUUCCAAACUUUGUGUUUUGCUACAAUAAUUGAUGGCAGUGCUUCUCAAUUCUGAAUCAGUAUUAGGAGGGCUCAGGCUACUAAAAAUACAUGCUGCCCAGCUCCCUCCCAUCUCAGCUGAUUCAGGAUCUCCAGAAAAGGACCUUCCCUCCCACAGAGGAUUAGUACUAGUUUUUCCUGAAAUGUUUGACAGAAAUCACCACAGAAACCAUCUGCACCUUGACUUGUAUUUGUGGUAAGUUUCAUUUCUUCAUGUUUAAUUUCUUUACUUGAUAUGGAC